CUGUCUCUCUAAUACAAUCCCCUCCUGCCCACCUUCUUUCUUGUACUGGGAGGUACUGGGCAUGUUAACUAACCUCAGACUGGCAGUUCUGCCCACUGCCUGGGCACACACCUGGAAGACAGCAUACGAAGCUGGGCACGCCCAGUGACGCUGUUCCACUUUCCUCUUUGGGGGGAAGAAGGGACAGGGCUGGGCCAGUCAUGGGGUAGGUUCUGAGCUCAGCGCCAACUUUCAAGCACUCCCUCUUGCCUGCUUCCCCUAUAGCAUGAUAUGGAUAGAAGCUGGACCCGGGCUGCCCACCAGCCCCACUUUGUUAUCGGGACCUGUCUCUGCCAGUCUUAUGACCAGGAACAGAAGGAAAGCACUUUUGGAAACUUUACAGCAUACCAGAACCGUGAGCUAUCCUGAUCACUGUCCACUAAAACGCUGCUGGCUCCUUUCCUACACUUUCCAGGAGCCCAGGAGGGAAACACCAAAGACAGAGAGAGACUCAUGCCACUGCGCCGCCCCUUGAUCCUCGGGUGAUGGAAUGCAAUGGAGAAGCAUCUAUUAGGCCUUUACAAUGUGUUGUGCAUUAUGGUAAACAUAAAAAAGCAAAGACAGUUCCUGCUUUCAAGUAGUUCACACAAACAGCAGAUUUUGCUCUUUUAUUAAAAUCUAUACUUACCUGUAGCCUUAUUUAUUUUUUCAGUCUCUGGACCC
rnacentral:lncRNA from 1 species